rnacentral:lncRNA from 12 species
CUGGGUUGGACUCCACGAUUCGAAGGUCUUUUCCAACCCCGAAUUUCUGUGAAUUUCCCCCCUUCCUUCAGGCACUACCCAGCCCUGAAGACCUUGGAGCACCUGGAGCAAACGUUCCUGCCCCAGGUGAGCCACUACCGCUUCUGCCGGGCCAUGGUGGACAACAUCCCGCGGCUGCGGCGCGAGAUCCAGGAGCGCUCCAUGUCCGACCUCAAGGACUUCCUGGAGAGCAUCCGCAAGCACUCGGACAGGAUCGGCGAGACCGCCGUCAGGCAGGCACAGCAGCAGAGAAACCUGGACAACAUCGUGUCCCAGCAGCCCAGGAUUAGCGGGGGGAAGAAAUCCAAGAAGGAAUUCAGCGCCAGCUCCGAGCUGGAGGUGAAGAACACCAGCCCCAUGUCGGAGCAGGACUCGGGGAUCCUGGAUGUGGAGGAUGAGGAUGAGGAGGAGGAGGUGCCUGGAGCCCAGGAUUUGGUGGAUUUCUCCCCCGUUUAUCGCUGCCUCCACAUUUACUCCGUCCUGGUGAGGGAAUUUUAAUCUUCUUUGAAAUCAAAAUAUUGUUUUGAUAAUUCUGUCAAAUUUUUUUGGUUAUUUCGAAGUAGAUAGGGC